rnacentral:rRNA from 1 species
UUUUGUAGCAAUACGAGAGCGUCCUAGUGGCGAACGGGUGAGUAACGCGUUGGUGACCUGCCCCAAAGUGUGGGAUAACAGUCCGAAAGGAUUGCUAAUACCGCAUGUGGUCAUAAGGUUUAGAAACUUAUGACUAAAGCAGUAAUGCGCUUUGGGAGGGACCUGCGUCCCAUCAGCUAGUUGGCGAGGUAACGGCUCACCAAGGCGACGACGGGUAGGGGACCUGAGAGGGUGACCCCCCACAAUGGAACUGAAACACGGUCCAUACACCUACGGGUGGCAGCAGUAGGGAAUAUUGCUCAAUGGGCGAAAGCCUGAAGCAGCAACGCCGCGUGCGCGAUGAAGGUCUUCGGAUCGUAAAGCGCUUUUCUGCGAGAUGAGAAAGGACAGUAUCGUAGGAAUAAGUCUCGGCUAACUACGUGCCAGCAGCCGCGGUAACACGUAGGAGGCGAGCGUUAUCCGGAUUCACUGGGCGUAAAGCGCGUGCAGGCGGUUUGGUAAGUUGGGCGUGAAAGCUCCCGGCUCAACUGGGAGAGGUCGUUCAAUACUACCGAACUGGAGAGUAGAAGAGGAAGAUGGAAUUCCCGGUGUAGUGGUGAAAUGCGUAGAUAUCGGGAGGAACACCAGUGGCGAAGGCGAUCUUCUGGUCUAUUUCUGACGCUCAGACGCGACAGCUAGGGUAGUAAACGGGAUUAGAGACCCCGGUAAUCCUAGCCGUAAACG